rnacentral:rRNA from 1 species
UACGAAGGGGGCUAGCGUUGCUCGGAAUCACUGGGCGUAAAGCGCACGUAGGCGGAUUGCUAAGUCAGGGGUGAAAUCCUGGAGCUCAACUCCAGAACUGCCUUCGAUACUGGGAGUCUCGAGUUCGGGAGAGGUGAGUGGAACUGCGAGUGUAGAGGUGAAAUUCGUAGAUAUUCGCAAGAACACCAGUGGCGAAGGCGGCUCACUGGCCCGAUACUGACGCUGAGGUGCGAAAGCGUGGGGAGCAAACAGG